rnacentral:rRNA from 1 species
CACAUGCAGUCGAACGAGAAUCUGAUGAAGGAGUUUUCGGACAACUGAUUCAGAGGAAAGUGGCGGACGGGUGAGUAACGCGUGAGGAACCUGCCUUGAAGAGGGGACAACAGUUGGAAACGACUGCUAAUACCGCAUGACGCAUAGGGGUCGCAUGAUCUUUAUGCCAAAGAUUUAUCGCUUCAAGAUGGCCUCGCGUCUGAUUAGCUGGUUGGCGGGGUAACGGCCCACCAAGGCGACGAUCAGUAGCCGGACUGAGAGGUUGAACGGCCACAUUGGGACUGAGAUACGGCCCAGACUCCUACGGGAGGCAGCAGUGGGGAAUAUUGGGCAAUGGGCGCAAGCCUGACCCAGCAACGCCGCGUGAAGGAAGAAGGCUUUCGGGUUGUAAACUUCUUUUAAGAGGGAAGAGCAGAAGACGGUACCUCUAGAAUAAGCCACGGCUAACUACGUGCCAGCAGCCGCGGUAAUACGUAGGUGGCAAGCGUUGUCCGGAUUUACUGGGUGUAAAGGGCGUGCAGCCGGGUCUGCAAGUCAGAUGUGAAAUCCAUGGGCUCAACCCAUGAACUGCAUUUGAAACUGUAGAUCUUGAGUGUCGGAGGGGCAAUCGGAAUUCCUAGUGUAGCGGUGAAAUGCGUAGAUAUUAGGAGGAACACCAGUGGCGAAGGCGGAUUGCUGGACGAUAACUGACGGUGAGGCGCGAAAGUGUGGGGAGCAAACAGGAUUAGAUACCCUGGUAGUCCACACUGUAAACGAUGAAUACUAGGUGUGCGGGGACUGACCCCCUGCGUGCCGCAGUAAACACAAUAAGUAUUCCACCUGGGGAGUACGAUCGCAAGGUUGAAACUCAAAGGAAUUGACGGGGGCCCGCACAAGCGGUGGAUUAUGUG